ACGCCCCGGAUGUCUCGUCCCUGGGCACGCCGACAAAUCCGCCGUAUACAAGGAAUUUUUCCUGUAUACGAAGCGACAGCUGUAUCUGUAAAUCAAAAACUAUUACGAACAAUAGUAGAGACCUGCUAGAGAAAACAGAAACUAAACAAACUGAGUUUCAUAUAUAUAGUCCAAAUCCAAAAAUAUAGAGCUACUCGCACUAGCAAGUUAAGUCUACUAUGUACAUAAACUCAAAACAAAACAUCUACCUGCAGUAGGGGCACCUCUAGCUCAGUACGUCGGGCAGCGCUCUAACUCGCGACGCCCUUGCCUCGAUCCUGAUCCGCGGAAGGCGCAGCAGCCGAAACCUGUGGCUCUGCAAAACAGGGAUAACAACUGGACGUGAGAACUAUUGUAAAAACAAGUAGUCCUCAGUGGGUACCGCCCAAAACAACAUCGGUCCACCCACUAAGUCUACAGAAGGGAGCAAGAAUAGCCGAAAAAGCAGGAAGUAAACUCAACCGCUACAAAUCACUACACUAUCAUGCUGUACACUAACCAACUGCAGGAAAUGUCAAAUCUGACCCAAUCCAAUCGGGACUGUAAACAAAUCCGUCCCUGGGACUGUGAAUACACCCAUCCCUGCCUAG
rnacentral:lncRNA from 1 species